GAAGGGUAUGUUUUAUAUGAUCUCAAUUCUCAUCAAAUUUUCAUUUCCAUAAAUUUUAUUCUUUGUGAAAAUGUGUUUCCUUUUACAGCCCCUAUUAACUCAUCCAAUGUUUCUCCUUCACUUCCUUUAAUAUCUGCCACCUCCUAGCAUUCCCCUCACAUUCUUGCUAUAACUCCAACCCCUGACUGUACCUAUAGCCCACCUACAGAUAAUUCUCAUUCUAUACAUAAGCAAUCCCUUCAACAUUAGACACUUUACUAGAUUUCGCUGCCAACCUUCUUACCAUGCAAAUUUUCACUUAAUA
rnacentral:lncRNA from 1 species